CUUGCAUCAUGAUUUACAUUUGAGUGAGUGGCGAACUGGUGAGUAACACGUGGGAAACCUGCCCAGAAGCGGGGGAUAACACCUGGAAACAGAUGCUAAUACCGCAUAACAACUUGGACCGCAUGGUCCGAGUUUGAAAGAUGGCUUCGGCUAUCACUUUUGGAUGGUCCCGCGGCGUAUUAGCUAGAUGGUGGGGUAACGGCUCACCAUGGCAAUGAUACGUAGCCGACCUGAGAGGGUAAUCGGCCACAUUGGGACUGAGACACGGCCCAAACUCCUACGGGAGGCAGCAGUAGGGAAUCUUCCACAAUGGACGAAAGUCUGAUGGAGCAACGCCGCGUGAGUGAAGAAGGGUUUCGGCUCGUAAAACUCUGUUGUUAAAGAAGAACAUAUCUGAGAGUAACUGUUCAGGUAUUGACGGUAUUUAACCAGAAAGCCACGGCUAACUACGUGCCAGCAGCCGCGGUAAUACGUAGGUGGCAAGCGUUGUCCGGAUUUAUUGGGCGUAAAGCGAGCGCAGGCGGUUUUUUAAGUCUGAUGUGAAAGCCUUUCGGCUCAACCGAAGAAGUGCAUCGGAAACUGGGAAACUUGAGUGCAGAAGAGGACAGUGGAACUCCAUGUGUAGCGGUGAAAUGCGUAGAUAUAUGGAAGAACACCAGUGGCGAAGGCGGCUGUCUGGUCUGUAACUGACGCUGAGGCUCGAAAGUAUGGGUAGCAAACAGGAUUAGAUACCCUGGUAGUCCAUACCGUAAACGAUGAAUGCUAAGUGUUGGAGGGUUUCCGCCCUUCAGUGCUGCAGCUAACGCAUUAAGCAUUCCGCCUGGGGAGUACGGCCGCAAGGCUGAAACUCAAAGGAAUUGACGGGGGCCCGCACAAGCGGUGGAGCAUGUGGUUUAAUUCGAAGCUACGCGAAGAACCUUACCAGGUCUUGACAUACUAUGCAAAUCUAAGAGAUUAGACGUUCCCUUCGGGGACAUGGAUACAGGUGGUGCAUGGUUGUCGUCAGCUCGUGUCGUGAGAUGUUGGGUUAAGUCCCGCAACGAGCGCAACCCUUAUUAUCAGUUGCCAGCAUUAAGUUGGGCACUCUGGUGAGACUGCCGGUGACAAACCGGAGGAAGGUGGGGAUGACGUCAAAUCAUCAUGCCCCUUAUGACCUGGGCUACACACGUGCUACAAUGGAUGGUACAACGAGUUGCGAACUCGCGAGAGUAAG
rnacentral:rRNA from 2 species